CAGUUACAUGUUGGAGAUGGGGAUUUCUGGAUUGGACUCUAUCGCAGCCUCCAGCAUCCAAGGAGAGGCAGCACAACCUCCACUUGCCCCUCACAGUAUUAUUGGCUGGAUGGAAGCAAGACAAAGUACAGGAACUGGCACUGGGAUGAGCCUUCAUGUGGCAAAGAAAGGUGCGUGGUUUUGUAUUACCAGCGCUCUCGACCAUUUGAAGACAGCCGUUUCCCUUUCCAGUGGAUGGAUGACAACUGUAGCUCCAAGAACAACUUUAUCUGCAAAUACCAGGAAGAAAAACUGCCUCUAUUUACAGCUCCAUCUCCUAAGCCAAAUGUAGUGCCAACAACAGAGGAAGAUGAAAACAUGAGGAUAGUGCACGGAUCAUCAGUAUCUUUUUCAGACAACUCUCUUAAUGUUUCCUACAUCCUCUGUGCUACCAUCCCUGCUCUCCUGCUGCUGCUGUUUGCAGUCACUGGACUCCUCUGCUACAAACAACAUGGGAAAAGGAGGAAGACAGAGACAAAAAGCUUUUCUGGCAGAUCAAAGCACGGAACAACAACAAUAGCUUCGCCUUGCCCCGUUCAAGGACCUUACGCCUUCAGUGAUAUCACUAGACUACCCCACUCUGUCCUGGACGGCAGGAUGACAGCUAAAAGGACUGAGUAUUCUUGUUCUCCUUCACUUAAUUCCUUAUGUGACGAUUAUGAGAAUGUAACAAGUGUGGACAGGGAAAGCGGCUUCGUGUCCAAUGACAUUUAUGAGAGCUGCAGGGCUCAAAGCCAGCAGUGCCACAGCCAGACUGGAUGGGUGGAAAACGAGAUCUAUGGAUGAUUCCACCUAUACUCAUUGCUGAUGAUGUUCCAAUGGAUUCCUGGAAAGAACUCAGACUGUUCCUGCUCCUGUUCUUGCUGCACAUCCAGCUGGACACCUGGAGGUGGAGAAAUAACACAUGUUCAUCUGGAUUUAAAUAGACUGUGGUUUACCAGGCAGAAACAUGCUAACCAGCUGUACGUGAGCUGUAACAUCUUUGUCUGCUGAGACUCAAUAUUUAGGUCCUAAAAAUGAUUAUUUUUUGGCGGUCAUAAUAAUAAAAGGUAUUAUUAAGACAAACAAAGCCUUUACUUUUGUUAAUUUCACUCUGAUAAGCAUCAGGCGUCUAUAAAUUGUAAAGAUUUGUGGAUUCGUGUGUGAAUAGGUUAAAGUUGCAAGCAUGUUUCAAAUAAUCAUACAGAAUAAUGUGAUUUGGUAUUAGUAAUACAAGUCCUGUUCCAAUCUAGACAUGUUUUGUUUUUACCCAAGGGUUUAUAAUCUGUCAAUAAAGCUUUGUGCUACAAACUAUAUUCUUGUCUUUUCUUUAAUUUAAUCCAGCAUUAGCUGUGUUUUGUUUCUG
rnacentral:lncRNA from 1 species